rnacentral:rRNA from 1 species
GUCGAACGCGUUGGCCCAAUUGAUUGAUGGUGCUUGCACCUGAUUGAUUUUGGUCGCCAACGAGUGGCGGACGGGUGAGUAACACGUAGGUAACCUGCCCAGAAGCGGGGGACAACAUUUGGAAACAGAUGCUAAUACCGCAUAACAGCGUUGUUCGCAUGAACAACGCUUAAAAGAUGGCUUCUCGCUAUCACUUCUGGAUGGACCUGCGGUGCAUUAGCUUGUUGGUGGGGUAACGGCCUACCAAGGCGAUGAUGCAUAGCCGAGUUGAGAGACUGAUCGGCCACAAUGGGACUGAGACACGGCCCAUACUCCUACGGGAGGCAGCAGUAGGGAAUCUUCCACAAUGGGCGCAAGCCUGAUGGAGCAACACCGCGUGAGUGAAGAAGGGUUUCGGCUCGUAAAGCUCUGUUGUUAAAGAAGAACACGUAUGAGAGUAACUGUUCAUACGUUGACGGUAUUUAACCAGAAAGUCACGGCUAACUACGUGCCAGCAGCCGCGGUAAUACGUAGGUGGCAAGCGUUAUCCGGAUUUAUUGGGCGUAAAGAGAGUGCAGGCGGUUUUCUAAGUCUGAUGUGAAAGCCUUCGGCUUAACCGGAGAAGUGCAUCGGAAACUGGAUAACUUGAGUGCAGAAGAGGGUAGUGGAACUCCAUGUGUAGCGGUGGAAUGCGUAGAUAUAUGGAAGAACACCAGUGGCGAAGGCGGCUACCUGGUCUGCAACUGACGCUGAGACUCGAAAGCAUGGGUAGCGAACAGGAUUAGAUACCCUGGUAGUCCAUGCCGUAAACGAUGAGUGCUAGGUGUUGGAGGGUUUCCGCCCUUCAGUGCCGGAGCUAACGCAUUAAGCACUCCGCCUGGGGAGUACGACCGCAAGGUUGAAACUCAAAGGAAUUGACGGGGGCCCGCACAAGCGGUGGAGCAUGUGGUUUAAUUCGAAGCUACGCGAAGAACCUUACCAGGUCUUGACAUCUUGCGCCAACCCUAGAGAUAGGGCGUUUCCUUCGGGAACGCAAUGACAGGUGGUGCAUGGUCGUCGUCAGCUCGUGUCGUGAGAUGUUGGGUUAAGUCCCGCAACGAGCGCAACCCUUGUUACUAGUUGCCAGCAUUAAGUUGGGCACUCUAGUGAGACUGCCGGUGACAAACCGGAGGAAGGUGGGGACGACGUCAGAUCAUCAUGCCCCUUAUGACCUGGGCUACACACGUGCUACAAUGGACGGUACAACGAGUCGCGAACUCGCGAGGGCAAGCAAAUCUCUUAAAACCGUUCUCAGUUCGGACUGCAGGCUGCAACUCGCCUGCACGAAGUCGGAAUCGCUAGUAAUCGCGGAUCAGCAUGCCGCGGUGAAUACGUUCCCGGGCCUUGUACACACCGCCCGUCACACCAUGAGAGUUUGUAACACCCAAAGUCGGUGGGGUAACCUUUUAGGAGCCAGCCGCC